GACGAACGCUGGCGGCGUGCUUAACACUUGCAAGUCGAACGGAAAGGCCCUGCUUUUGUGGGGUGCUCGAGUGGCGAACGGGUGAGUAACACGUGAGUAACCUGCCCUUGACUGUGGGAUAACUUCAGGAAACUGGGGCUAAUACAGGAUAGGAGCUCCUGCUGCAUGGUGGGGGUUGGAAAGUUUCGGCGGUUGGGGAUGGACUCGCGGCUUAUCAGCUUGUUGGUGGGGUAGUGGCUUACCAAGGCUUUGACGGGUAGCCGGCCUGAGAGGGUGACCGGCCACAUUGGGACUGAGAUACGGCCCAGACUCCUACGGGAGGCAGCAGUGGGGAAUAUUGCACAAUGGGCGGAAGCCUGAUGCAGCAACGCCGCGUGCGGGAUGACGGCCUUCGGGUUGUAAACCGCUUUCGCCUGUGACGAAGCGUGAGUGACGGUAAUGGGUAAAGAAGCACCGGCUAACUACGUG
rnacentral:rRNA from 1 species